CCUACGGGGGGCAGCAGUGGGGAAUAUUGCACAAUGGGGGAAACCCUGAUGCAGCGACGCCGCGUGAGUGAAGAAGUAUUUCGGUAUGUAAAGCUCUAUCAGCAGGGAAGAAGCAAGACGGUACCUGACUAAGAAGCCCCGGCUAACUACGUGCCAGCAGCCGCGGUAAUACGUAGGGGGCAAGCGUUAUCCGGAUUUACUGGGUGUAAAGGGAGCGUAGACGGUAUGGCAAGUCUGAAGUGAAAGCCCAGGGCUUAACCCUGGGACUGCUUUGGAAACUGUUAGACUAGAGUGCUGGAGAGGUAAGUGGAAUUCCUAGUGUAGCGGUGAAAUGCGUAGAUAUUAGGAGGAACACCAGUGGCGAAGGCGGCUUACUGGACAGUAACUGACGUUGAGGCUCGAAAGCGUGGGGAGCGAACAGGAUUAGAUACCCGUGUAGUC
rnacentral:rRNA from 1 species